GAGAGGAAGGUCCCCCACACUGGUACUGAGACACGGACCAGACUCCUACGGGAGGCAGCAGUGAGGAAUAUUGGUCAAUGGGCGAGAGCCUGAACCAGCCAAGUAGCGA
rnacentral:rRNA from 1 species